CUGUUUCGGCUAGGGGGCCAUCCCGGCUUACCAACCCGAUGCAAACUGCGAAUACCGGAGAAUGUUAUCACGGGAGACACACGGCGGGUGCUAACGUCCGUCGUGAAGAGGGAAACAACCCAGACCGCCAGCUAAGGUCCCAAAGUCAUGGUUAAGUGGGAAACGAUGUGGGAAGGCCCAGACAGCCAGGAUGUUGGCUUAGAAGCAGCCAUCAUUUAAAGAAAGCGUAAUAGCUCACUGGUCGAGUCGGCCUGCGCGGAAGAUGUAACGGGGCUAAACCAU
rnacentral:rRNA from 4 species